UCCCUGGUGGCUCAGACGGUAGAGCAUCUGCCCACAAUGCGGGAGACCCGGGUUCAAUCCUCCGGUCGGGAAG
rnacentral:tRNA from 1 species